rnacentral:rRNA from 1 species
GAUGAACGCUGGCGGCGUGCCUAAUACAUGCAAGUCGAGCGAACAGAUGAGGAGCUUGCUCCUCUGACGUUAGCAGCGGACGGGUGAGUAACACGUGGAUAACCUACCUAUAAGACUGGGAUAACUUCGGGAAACCGGAGCUAAUACCGGAUAAUAUAUUGAACCGCAUGGUUCAAUAGUGAAAGACGGUUUUGCUGUCACUUAUAGAUGGAUCCGCGCCGCAUUAGCUAGUUGGUAAGGUAACGGCUUACCAAGGCAACGAUGCGUAGCCGACCUGAGAGCGUGAUCGGCCACACUGGAACUGAGACACGGUCCAGACUCCUACGGGAGGCAGCAGUAGGGAAUCUUCCGCAAUGGGCGAAAGCCUGACGGAGCAACGCCGCGUGAGUGAUGAAGGUCUUCGGAUCGUAAAACUCUGUUAUUAGGGAAGAACAAAUGUGUAAGUAACUAUGCACGUCUUGACGGUACCUAAUCAGAAAGCCACGGCUAACUACGUG